GAUGAACGCUGGCGGCAUGCCUAAUACAUGCAAGUCGAACGGACUCUUAUUUGUUCCUUGUCCCCGAUCCUCGGAUUAGGGCUAUGGAACGAUAAGAGUUAGUGGCGGACGGGUGAGUAACACGUUGGUACCUACCCCUAAGUGGGGAAUAACUGCCCGAAAGGGUGGCUAAUACCGCAUAAAUACCGAAAGGUUAAAGCAUUUAUGCGCUUAGGGAGGGGCCUGCGUCCCAUUAGCUUGUUGGUAGUGUAAGGACUACCAAGGCGACGAUGGGUAGCUGGAUCGAGAGGUUGACCAGCCACACUGGGACUGAGAUACGGGCCCAGACUCCUACGGGAGGGCAGCAGUAAGGAAUCUUCCACAAUGGACGAAAGUCUGAUGGAGCAAUGCCGCGUGCAGGAUGACGGCUCGG
rnacentral:rRNA from 1 species